GUGGCAGUCUUUGAUGGUUGUAGCCCUGAGCAGUAGCUCACAACUUAUGUGACUCCACACAGAUCGAUGCUGGUACCGACCGACAGGGUCUGUGAAGCCGUUGGUUUCCCUUAGCGAUGGUGCCAUACAUU